AUAUGGCAGAAAAUUGUAACAGCUCUGAGACAGUAGUCUUUUCGUUGCUCGUCGCAGAACCUAAACUCGGUGAAUUUUGGCCCAAACAAAGAACAAUCCGAAACCGAACACUUGGCCUCAGUGCCCUUCUUGGGCUCCUUUCUGCCCUCCUACUCCUGCUGUAGGUGGAAACCUUUUAUAGGUUCUUUGUGACGCCUCCCCAGGCACACCCAGACGCUAAAAUGCAGUGAAAAACACGUUCCAGUUCCUCGGUGAACACGGUGUGAACAACCCUAUGAGGUGGGUAUUAUUAUUCCUAUUCUGCAGAGGUGGAUUGAGGCAAUUGACAGAACGCAAAUUUGAAACCAGGAGGUCUAGCUCCAGAAUCUAGAAGUUUGGGUAUCUCUAAGCAAUAGGACACUACAGACCCUAUUAAGGGCCUGUUAGAAGACCUCAAGAAGAUGAUUUUAUAAAAUAUUUACCAUUGCUUUCUUUUGCUAGCCAGCAAACUACUGUUUAGAUCCUUCUGAACUAUGUCAGUGAUAGAUUUCUAAAAUUUUAGAAAUCAGUGACCCAAGGCUACUAUGUAAUAUAUUUGUCAUAUUUCUAUAUUAGGAAGGAUUCAUGAGAUGUGCAGGAAAUAAUA